AUUCUUGAUGUUACUUCAACUUCUACUUUUUUUAUGUUCCUAAAGUAAAGUUACAUUGUUAAUUUGUAUUUUAUUAAAGAACUCAAAUCCAUUCACACGUUAAUUGUUCAACAAACAAUAAUCGCUGAACAUACAAACUGUAUACAGUAAUGCAACGAUCAUCUUUUCCUUAAUCAGUUACAUAGUAAAGGACAAAAGAUUAGUUCGUGUUGAAGGAGAACGUACGUUUCUAUGUAUAUAUAUAAUAACAUAUUAGGUAAGCAAUGUCUUUAAUAAAUUUUUUUCUCUAUACAACUUUCUUUUUUCGUAUUUUCUAGCGAAUUAAAUAUUGAAUAAACGUUCGUUUUUAUGUGUAUAAUAUCCAUGUGUACAGUGGUGUACCAAGAGUUUACACCAUUUUACUUCCUUAGCACCCCUCAAAAUCAAUUUUUCAGCAUUGAAUACUAAUUAGAUAUCUACCUAGUGUAAGGACACAAAUUUGUACACACUAAAAAUCAUUCAAAUAUGCCAUAAUGGUCUAAUCCCAUUCCAUUCUCCAUCAUUUCAAACUUCAACCUACAAUAAUUCUUCACCAUUCUUGCUUUUAAAAAUAUUUUUAACUUUAUACCUUAAGAAAACUCAAAAGCCAUACUACAAUCUGGUGUGUGGUUGCUAUGGUGUAUGUUUAGUCAAGUAUAGAAAAUAUAUGUUUUAGCUACUUAGAGAACUGAAUGCCUCAUGAAAUAUGUAGUCAAAAUGAUAAAAAUAUACAAUAAAAAAUAAAAUACAUAAAAGUUGCUAAUGUUGUGUUACAUAAUUAUUCUAAAUAUUUUCCAAUUGAUAUAAACUCUAACAUGAAGUUCCUUCAAAAUCUUAUAAGUGAUUCUGCUAAUGUUCCACCGCUCCUUUCCCUUAAAAACUUCUGAGUACCACCAUAUUCAGCCUGCUCUAUUGUUUCAUUUACUAUUCCUAAACGUUAUACUAAUUACAGUCCAAAUAAUCUAAUCAACUGUUAAGUGCACUCUACAGUGCGCCUAAUAAUACUUACCCUUCCUCUUGUUUUAAACUGAAUACCUAGCUUUGUUUCACUACUAUUGACUUUUUGUACUUUAUGUAAAUUUACCUACAAUAAUUGUACUUUGGCCCAAGCCUGUGUUUAAUAAAUAAAUUAAACUAAUAAUGAUGAACACCAUUUUAUUAAUUAUUGUUAAAUGACAUUUUAUUUACAUAUCACUGAUAUGUCAGUCUAAUUAUCUUUUAAAUUAUUAAUAAGGGGUUGAAAUGUCAUAUUUUUGAUUUGAUUACCAUUAUACAGGAUAAUUGUUUUAUGAUGAACCAGCAAUUUUCUCGAAGGAUUGUGAGUGAAUUUGAUUUCUGUUUCUGUUUUCAUCAUUAUGGAAUCAGUUAAGCUUUAUUUUAAAUCAUUUUUAAUUUUUUACCCUCUACUCCACAUUCCUUAAAUUUCUUAAAUAAGUUUAUGCUUGUUUUUAAAAUAGAACCCUCCUUUUUUAGCACAAAUUUGAGUACGAGAUAUUUCUUUAGAAAUUUUGUUAUACAUAACACUAAUAUCAGAUUUACCAUUUAUGAGUUAUAACCAUUUAAAGGUUGGAUUGGAAGAGUAGGGAAGAGUAAUAAAUUUCACAUCUAUUUUUAAAUGAUAAAUUGAUUACUCAAUAAUUAUUCCAUCAAGAAUUCAAAUUUAUUUUUUCCCAAGUGUGCAGUGCUAUAUAAUCAAGUUUUAAAUGAUGUUGAUUAUUUUUUUAUCCCUCACAAAUGUUUCUGAAGAAAAGCUUUAUUUAUAUCUACAUACUAAAACCCUUUAUUAUGUCACAUUAUUAUAUUUCACUACCUAAAUCUAGCUAAAUUAUUUUAAUUUACUUUAUUAAUUUUUGUAUUUUUUAUAGAUGGUGUACUUGAAUAAUAAUGCUCAAACAAUGGAAAACUUUGAUGUAACUGGAAGGAAAUAAUUAUACAUACAUAUACUUUAAAUUCAGUGGGUAUAUUGGUUAUUUGUAAUCAAUAGUAAAAAGUAAGUAUGAAUGCAUAUUAUGAAACAAUUUUUUUUACAUUUGCUAUUAAACAUUUCGGUACAUAGAUACAAUAAAGCAAAAAUAAAAAUAACCCCACAAAGUACAUUUACAUAGAAAAUAAUGUGGCUAUUUAUUGUUAUUUAUUGUAGAAAUAUUUAAAAUACAAUCUAUAUUAAUAAUUAAUUUAAAAUUUGAUUUUAUAAGUUUUAUAAAUUUGAUUUGUAUUGAUUAACUCAUUUGUGUUCGACUUUUCAAAACAAUUGCAUAAAUUAUGUAAUGAAUAUAUAAAUAUAUUAAAUAUCUUAUACUGUUCUACCAUUUCUCCAAAACACAUACUAUGUACAUCAUAUAUUCAUCCCCUUGCUGUUUUGCGUCAAAUGUUCUUUAUUCGGUUGGUCUCUCAGAGGGAUGACAUAGGCUGGGCAGCAACACUCCCUUGAUUUAAGCAUGUGUGAUUUUUUCCUCUGGAUCUAUCCUAAGGAUAAGAAUUUUAGAUAAGUUAUUGCUCCCAAAAUUGUUGGUAGAAAAGUUCUUCACAGAAAAAAAAUCUUAGUAUUUCACCAACUAUGUUUCAUACAUUUGCAUGGUUUUUCUCAGUUUUUUUUUUCGGAUUUUCAUAUUUGAUAAAGAAAUUCUCUAGAAAAUCGAAAAAUGGCUACCCUAAAGUACCUUCCCUCACCAAUUUCCUUUCAAAAAAGGUGCUAUACUUAAAAAUCAAAUCAAGAUUUCUGGUAGAAAAGUUGUUAGAUAAAAAAUAAAUAAUAAAAAAUCUUUGUAAAAUCAUAAGUUUCUAUGCUUAACUCAGAAUCUAAAAUAAUGUACUAAACUGAUUUCAAGAGUUUUAUAUUUACAUAUAAAUAAUUUGUAUAAACUUUAAAUUUGUAAUGUGAAAAUAUUGUUUCUAGGAGAAGAAGUCUAAUUUGAAACAUAUAAAACCACUGGCGCUCAAGACUUAAGACUUGGCCACAUCUGAAAAAAAAUCUGGUCAAAUCUAUUUUGCAAAAUGAUUUUUCUAAAAAAAAAAACAAUAUUUCAAUUGUAGCGCAGUUAUACUAAUUAUUUUUAACAUGCUAAUUAUUAAAAAAAAAAAAAAUUAAUUAAAAUUAUUAAAUCAAAAGUUAUUUUAAGUGACAUACUUUCUGUUGCACUUUGUAUGUAGGUAUUCUUGUUAUGUAUGUAAUAUGUAUAUAUACAUGUAUACAAUUUAUUGUGUAAAUUGUACUAUUGAUCGAAAACUACAACUUUGUCACUAACCCUAAUUUUAUCUGUACAAAUUAGUAUCAUCCCACCUUUAGUAAUUUAUACAACUGAUUUUAAAUUCGAUUGCAUAGUAAUAGUUCAUAAGAACACCAUUUAAUUGUAAGCAAUUAUAAUAGAAUCUCAAUUUAAUUUGAUGACCAACUUGAUGAGCAACUAACUUGCUCCACAUUCAAUCAUUCUUUAUUUUUGUUUUUGUUAUAUUUUCAUUAUCAAGAUAUUGAGCUGUUAAAAUAUAAAAAUAAGAAUAGUUAUUGGUUAUAUAAUACAUAAUAUAAUAUUGACAUUAAUUAUUUACAUAUUUUAUAAGAAUAUUAUGUUUUUGUUUAUUGAGCAAAUUCAAAAUAAUUAUAUUUUAUAACACAAAUUAAUUUUAUUGAUAUUGUAUUUAUUUUAGAAUGAUGUCAAGUUGGACACAAAAUAUAUUGUAUUUAAUAAUAAAUAUCCUGUAAUUGUUUAAAUAAAAAUGUUUAGUAGAAUCUAAAUCUUAUGAAUCUGUAUUUUAAUUUUAGAAUGUUAUUUGUUUAAGCAAUAGACAGUAAAAAUUUAUAUUUGUAUACAGGGCAAUCAGAAUUUUAUGUUAUAGCAAUUUUCCCCUAUAAAUAUUAAAAAUAGAGAAAUAUGUUUAAUACUAAAAUUUAUUUAUAAACACUUAAAAAAACUUGUACAUUUUUUUUAUUUUAAUGAAUUUUGGGUGUUCAUUUUUGAAAUUCAAAUGGAAACCCAUGUUAAAAAUUCCAUAAACAAAUGAAGUAAUAUUUUAAAUAAAUUUUGGUGUUGACAUUUUUGAUUUCCAUCAACCAUUUUGAUGAGAUAUUGAACUUUUUAGUUUAGGAAGGGGAAGGGUAGUGCAACACUAUUUAAACACCAUGCACUUUGCUGUGCCACUAUACAAGCAAUCACUCUUCCCCUGACUAAACUAAAAAGUUGUAUAUCUCAUCAACUGAUUGAUAGAAAUCAAAAAUGUCAACACCAAAAUUUAUUUAAAAUAUUACUGCAUUUAUUUAUAGACUUUUUAAUAUAGGUUCCCAUUUAAAUUUCAAUAUUUAACACUCAACACCCAUGGCAUAGACAGCAUUAUACUGUAAAAAAGUAUAUAUAAGUACAUACAUUUUUUUAUAGUAUAUAUUAUAUUAUAAUUAUUAUGGCUAUAAUAUACAGUGAGCUGUAGUUAUUACACGUAUUUCUGUGCGCAAUAAAUAAUAACAAUUUUAUUAUUAAGAGUAUACUAUACCCCCAUGUGCUGUCUCAGUCCAAUAGAAAGCGAUAUAGCAAAAUCUACCUUACACAGACUGUAUAAAAAUCGCUUAACUUUGCUUUUAGAGUAAAAGCACCUAUUAUAAAAUUAAAUGGACAAUGAUCUGGAGGGAAAGUCUGCAUUUUUCUUAUAAUUCUAAUUAUUAUUUCGGAUAUAAUGUUCAAUACCUACACAUUCUUUAGAAAUAAAAUCUAAUUUAUCUUUCUUAAACAACUGUAACUAAAGGAAUUUUAAAAAAUAAAUGUAUUGUUUUGACUUCCUGAAUAUUGUCGUCUUUUAAUUUUGUAAUAGGUGCUUUUACUCUAGAACCACAAUUAUGCGAGUUCUACGCAGGGUACUAGGGUAGAUUUUGCUAUAUUGCCUGUUAGACUGAAACAGCACAUGCUGGUAUAGCGUUCUCUAUGUGUGCUAGAAGUACCACAAAAUAGAUGAAGUUUUAUGUGCUAAAAGAAAUAUAGACUAUUAAUGAACUAGGUAAAUAAUUUCUAGCCUAAAAAAAAAUUAAUAAACAUUAAACUACUUUGAAAUAUUUGAUUUCAAUAUGUACUUUUUAUAAUAAAUAAUAUUUUGAAAAAUAAGUAUUUCAAAGAAAUAUUUAAUUUAAAAUUAAUUUUGAAAGGCCCUGUAUAAAUUAAAUAACAUUAAUAAAUACAGUAGUUAUGAGAGGCAGAGUCAAAAUAUCCAACAAAUAUAAAUGUAUUUUAUUUUGAAUGUUCAUGUAUUUUAAAUGUAUUAUUCAUAAUUAAGAAUGUUGAAAAAGAAGUGGUGAAUUGAAACAUGUAAAGAGAGUUAGUUAAAAAAAGAAACCAAACAGUACCUACUUACAUUAUACAAAUUAUUUAUUUAUACAUUUUAUUAUGUUAUUAUAAAUUAUAUAUUUUUUAGGCCCACAUUUGAAGAAAUAGACUGGUUAAAGAAUUUCACAGAAAAAGAAAGAAAAUUAAAAUUAAGA
rnacentral:lncRNA from 1 species